CGGCGUGCUUAACACAUGCAAGUCGAACGGAAAGGCCCUGCUUUUGUGGGGUGCUCGAGUGGCGAACGGGUGAGUAACACGUGAGUAACCUGCCCUUGACUUUGGGAUAACUUCAGGAAACUGGGGCUAAUACCGGAUAGGAGCUCCUGCUGCAUGGUGGGGGUUGGAAAGUUUCGGCGGUUGGGGAUGGACUCGCGGCUUAUCAGCUUGUUGGUGGGGUAGUGGCUUACCAAGGCUUUGACGGGUAGCCGGCCUGAGAGGGUGACCGGCCACAUUGGGACUGAGAUACGGCCCAGACUCCUACGGGAGGCAGCAGUGGGGAAUAUUGCACAAUGGGCGGAAGCCUGAUGCAGCAACGCCGCGUGCGGGAUGACGGCCUUCGGGUUGUAAACCGCUUUCGCCUGUGACGAAGCGUGAGUGACGGUAAUGGGUAAAGAAGCACCGGCUAACUACGUGCCAGCAGCCGCGGUGAUACGUAGGGUGCGAGCGUUGUCCGGAUUUAUUGGGCGUAAAGGGCUCGUAGGUGGUUGAUCGCGUCGGAAGUGUAAUCUUGGGGCUUAACCCUGAGCGUGCUUUCGAUACGGGUUGACUUGAGGAAGGUAGGGGAGAAUGGAAUUCCUGGUGGAGCGGUGGAAUGCGCAGAUAUCAGGAGGAACACCAGUGGCGAAGGCGGUUCUCUGGGCCUUUCCUGACGCUGAGGAGCGAAAGCGUGGGGAGCGAACAGGCUUAGAUACCCUGGUAGUCCACGCUGUAAACGGUGGGUACUAGGUGUGGGGUCCAUUCCACGGGUUCCGUGCCGUAGCUAACGCUUUAAGUACCCCGCCUGGGGAGUACGGCCGCAAGGCUAAAACUCAAAGGAAUUGACGGGGCCCCGCACAAGCGGCGGAGCAUGCGGAUUAAUUCGAUGCAACGCGUAGAACCUUACCUGGGUUUGACAUGGAUCGGGAGUGCUCAGAGAUGGGUGUGCCUCUUUUGGGGUCGGUUCACAGGUGGUGCAUGGCUGUCGUCAGCUCGUGUCGUGAGAUGUUGGGUUAAGUCCCGCAACGAGCGCAACCCUUGUUCACUGUUGCCAGCACGUUAUGGUGGGGACUCAGUGGAGACCGCCGGGGUCAACUCGGAGGAAGGUGGGGAUGACGUCAAGUCAUCAUGCCCCUUAUGUCCAGGGCUUCACGCAUGCUACAAUGGCUGGUACAGAGAGUGGCGAGCCUGUGAGGGUGAGCGAAUCUCGGAAAGCCGGUCUCAGUUCGGAUUGGGGUCUGCAACUCGACCUCAUGAAGUCGGAGUCGCUAGUAAUCGCAGAUCAGCAACGCUGCGGUGAAUACGUUCCCGGGGCUUGUACACACCGCCCGUCAAGUCAUGAAAGUUGGUAACACCCGAAGCCGGUGGCCUAACCGUUGUGGGGGAGCCGUCGAAGGUGGGACUGGUGAUUAGGACUAAGUA
rnacentral:rRNA from 1 species